ensembl:lncRNA
CAUGAUUUACCAGAAUGCUAAAUAUAGGAGAGUAGUCUUGGAUAUUUAGGACACUAACAUGCUUUCCCCAGAGAUUGUUUUUUAUCAGAUCUUUGUCUUUCUGCUCCCCCUUUAUAGGUCUGAGCCUUGUGAAGGAUACACCCACCAUUAACAAGUGACAGGAAUGAUCCAUUAGUGCUCAGACUGGUGUGAUCCAACAGGGCAAAAGAAUAAUUGAUGGUAGCUGAGCUGGGCUAUGUCAGGACCUGUGCAAGUCAUCUGGAUAUGGCAGGAUGUAAGAAUCAAGUAAGUGGACAGUGGACAUGGCAAGAAGCUAUUCUGCGUGGAGAAACUAUCUGUGACUCUGGAAUAAAGUGUGACACACAGAUGUGGGAUAACAGAAGGCAACCAAAAAAUGCUCCAGAC